UACGUAGGCAGCGAGCGUUGUUCGGAUUUACUGGGCGUAAAGGGCGCGUAGGCGGCGCAACAAGUCACUUGUGAAAUCUCCGGGCUUAACCCGGAGCGGCCAAGUGAUACUGUCGUGCUAGAGUGCGGAAGGGGCUACUGGAAUUCUCGGUGUAGCGGUGAAAUGCGUAGAUAUCGAGAGGAACACCUGCGGCGAAGGCGGGUAGCUGGGCCGACACUGACGCUGAGGCGCGAAAGCCAGGGGAGCGAACGGG
rnacentral:rRNA from 1 species